UGUACGAGGGGCUGAGUGAGAAUGAUUUUCUCUAGUUAAUAAUAAAAUCAUUAUUAGCUAUGUCUUUUACUUGCAUGGAAAAUUGGCCGGUAUAGGCUGUUUUACCUGCAGCUAUAUCUGCACAUCAGAUAUAGUUCACAGACUAUGUAAAGACAGGCUCCCUAUUAUACGUAGGGGGUUGAAGAUAUAGUCGGUCUCCCCUAUAAGUAGGAUGAGAGAAACGUUGUACACACCGCCCGUCGCUACUACCGAUUGAAUGGCUCAGUGAGGCCUUGGGACUGGCUCAGAGAGGUUGGCAACGACCACUCAGAGCCGGAAACUCGAUCAAACUUGGUCAUUUAGAGG
rnacentral:rRNA from 1 species